AGUGAACGCUGGCGGUAGGCCUAACACAUGCAAGUCGAACGGCAGCACAGUAAGAGCUUGCUCUUACGGGUGGCGAGUGGCGGACGGGUGAGGAAUACAUCGGAAUCUACUUUUUCGUGGGGGAUAACGUAGGGAAACUUACGCUAAUACCGCAUACGACCUACGGGUGAAAGCAGUGGAUCUUCGGACCUUGCGCGAUUGAAUGAGCCGAUGUCGGAUUAGCUAGUUGGCGGGGUAAAGGCCCACCAAGGCGACGAUCCGUAGCUGGUGUGAGAGGAUGAUCAGCCACACUGGAACUGAGACACGGUCCAGACUCCUACGGGAGGCAGCAGUGGGGAAUAUUGGACAAUGGGCGCAAGCCUGAUCCAGCCAUACCGCGUGGGUGAAGAAGGCCUUCGGGUUGUAAAGCCCUUUUGUUGGGAAAGAAGAGCAGCAGGUUAAUACCCCGCUGUUCUGACGGUACCCAAAGAAUAAGCACCGGCUAACUUCGUG
rnacentral:rRNA from 1 species